AACAGGAUUAGAUACCCUGGUAGUCCACGCCGUAAACGAUGAGUGCUAGGUGUUGGGGGGCUACGCCCCUCAGUGCCGAAGGUAACCCAUUAAGCACUCCGCCUGGGGAGUACGGCCGCAAGGCUGAAACUCAAAGGAAUUGACGGGGGCCCGCACAAGCGGUGGAGCAUGUGGUUUAAUUCGAAGCAACGCGAAGAACCUUACCAGGGCUUGACAUCCCGCUGACCCCUCCAGAGAUGGAGGUUUCCUUCGGGACAGCGGUGACAGGUGGUGCAUGGUUGUCGUCAGCUCGUGUCGUGAGAUGUUGGGUUCAGUCCCGCAACGAGCGCAACCCUUGUCGUUAGUUGCCAGCAUUUCGGAUGGGCACUCUAACGAGACAGCCGGUGAAAGCCGGAGGAAGGUGGGGAUGACGUCAAAUCAUCAUGCCCCUUAUGUCCUGGGCUACACACGUGCUACAAUGGCUGGUACAAAGGGCAGCGAACCCGCGAGGGGGAGCCAAUCCCAAAAAGCCAGUCUCAGUUCGGAUCGCAGGCUGCAACUCGCCUGCGUGAAGCCGGAAUCGCUAGUAAUCGCGGAUCAGCAUGCCGCGGUGAAUAUGUUCCCGGGCCUUGCACACACCGCCCGUCACACCACGAGAGUUUGCAACACCCGAAGUCGGUGAGGCAACCUUUUAGGAGCCAGCCGCCGAAGGUGGGGCAGAUGAUUGGGGUGAAGUCGUAACAAGGUAACC
rnacentral:rRNA from 1 species